rnacentral:lncRNA from 1 species
UUUCUUCAACCCCACAUAUACACUUCUCCCUUUCUUUUUUAACAUCUCUCUUUAUAUAUGUAUAUGCUUUGAAUUCAAUAAGAUGUCAUCACUUUCGUCUGAAAAUGAGAGUGGAAAACUCAUUGGUUGCGAAAUAUAACCAUACGCGCGAAAAGGUGAAAAAGAUGUAGAUCAAAACUCAACCAAUAAAGGAACAAAAUUGUCCAAUAUUAUCAACCAAAUACUAAAGAUUAUUGGGGUAAGUUUUGAAAUAUAUAGAUAUGUGAAGGUUUUAAUGGCUUUUUUCAAAAUUCGUUAAAAUGAUCUAUUUUGGAACAUAAAAGGGCGAAGGAGUUGAAAGCAAAAUUGAAAGAAUAAGAGAAGG